AGCUAGCUUCACCUUAUCAAAACAUCGGCGCCAGAUUUUGCAGAAAAAGAAAAAAGAAAAAGUGAAAUCUAGAUGUUUAAGAGCAAGAAAAGAAUGAACAUUAGAGGAUGAAAGCCGCGAGGUAAUUUUUUAAAAGAAUGAGAAAGUAAAAAAAAGCGAGGCAGACUUGAGGAGAAGGCGGCCGUGAAAAAAAUAAAGCGGUUAGCGAGUGUAGCGAGCUGCAAAUGAGAAGAAAGCCAUCCCGUGUCUCGGCCCUAGGCGUGCCGGUGUCUUCGGUGUGGCGCGAUCGGAUAUUUUCACUUAAUUAAAGCGUCUCGAAUUAGCUUCAAGAGGGGGGGGGGGGCAAACUGAAGAGCGACCAAAAAGAAGAUAGUUUAAAAAGGAAAAAAAAAUAUACCUGCACGAAGGAAGUAAAGACGACAAAAAAGAAGUUUCUGGAAAAGGACAGGGUAGUGUUUAACUAUUCGUCUUGCUGGCUACUUUGUACCGCACGUGUGUUGGAGUGUCGAAACUUCUUUUCGAGGCGCCAGAUAUAAAGAAGGUAAAAUUAGGAGAAGAGAGGUGGGCAACACUGUAACGACACUGCCGUUACUGCGCGAUGUACCUGCCAGAGAUUGGUCGCAAAAAAAAGAAAGGAUUAACAGAAGUGAACUCGGUGCCUUGAAGGCAAAGUUAGUGACCAGGCGGGCGUGUAAAUAUAAAAUUGGAUAUCGAGAUGGCUGGCGUGUCGAAAUAAAGAAAUGAAUUAAAGUUGAGAUACGUACUGGUGGAGGGCGGCAAUCUUUCGCGAAAAAGAAAGACAACACUUAGACAUCAGGAGUAGAACGAAAACUCGCACAAUCUAGGAGUGAAAAUCAAAGGGAAAGGACUGAGGCUUAGAAAAAAAGUGUCGUGGCUACAAACACGGCCAAUUUAGUUUGAGCCGGUUCCUUUGCUUGCUAUCUUAGGUGCCUAAUGUACCAACCAUUCCUCGGAUUUAUGUAUUUCUAUUCCCUUUUUUUUUUCUCCCUCAUGCAGGUUGGCCUUCUCGACUGUAAGAUCUCGAGCAGCCGGCUCUAUACUUUCCAUCUGCGUUGAUCAAGUGAAGACGGAAAAGAAAACACUUACCCUCAGUGGGCAGUUUUUCCCGGAAUGGAGACCUAAUUUCGCACUCUUCUUUUGAGUCGUCGCUGCAGUCUUAUGACGCAACCGGCACUGCAGUGUUUCUUGAAUGCAGUACUACAAAUGACUGGGCCUACUUGGCAAAUUAGGUGUCCGCCCCCAUGCUUACAGAGCAGCAGAAGAAACGGCUUCUGGGUCUGCUACCGACCAGAUGACCUAUCGCGACUUUCGCAACAGCCGGCCUCUUGCGCCAAGCGUUCCCACCCUUAUUCCGGGGAAUUCCCCUCGUCUGCUAGCGCGUGCAACGGAGAACAAUUCUCAAGCCCAAGUAACUCAGCGCGAAUGCAGAACCCACAUUUGUGAGAGGUUAUAGAGGAGCACGCGACCUUUCGCUAGUACUGCGUAUGAAGCCGUAGAAACGAACGUUACGGUUUCGUGAGAAAACUAAGUGGCGCAACACUGGAGAACUAUGCAGAGUCCGUAUAAAGAUGUUGAAGAAAGCCUCCGCGAAUUGA
rnacentral:lncRNA from 1 species